rnacentral:misc_RNA from 1 species
GAUGAAGAACGCAGUGAAAUGCGAUAAGUAAUGUGAAUUGCAGAAUUCAGUGAAUCAUCGAAUCUUUGAACGCACAUUGCGCCCGCCAGUAUUCUGGCGGGCAUGCCUGUCUGAGCGUCAUUUCAACCCUCAUGCCCCUAGGGCGUGGUGUUGGGGAUCGGCCAAAGCCCGCGAGGGACGGCCGGCCCCUAAAUCUAGUGGCGGACCCGUCGUGGCCUCCUCUGCGAAGUAGUGAUAUUCCGCAUCGGAGAGCGACGAGCCCCUGCCGUUAAACCCCCAACUUUCCAAGGUUGACCUCAGAUCAGGUAGGAAUACCCGCUGAACUUAAGCAUACAAUAAGCGGAGGA